CUAAGGCCUUGUGCUGCUUCUC
rnacentral:siRNA from 1 species